rnacentral:sRNA from 1 species
GAGAAGAAGGGGGCAAGUACAACAGCUCAGGCUCAUCUCGAUUGGGUGCUCAAGCCUGCAGGCUCCAUCUGCAGCAUCUGUUUGCCAUCUGUAAAGUAGGAAGGCUGGUGGGAUUAUGGACUCAGGAUGCAACUGGCAACGGACACAUCAUGGACUCUUCUGCUAAGUCCAGAUCCUUCAGGACUCAAUGUGGACAUGACCCAAAGCCUUACUGCAGCAACAUCAGUACCAGCCCCGCCAAGGCUCAUAGGAGAUGGGGUGAGAAAGCCUCAGAAAAGAUCCAGAAGAUAUGCUGCUGUCAGGUCACCGAGAGAGGAGGUAAGAGAGGACACUGGAGGUCCUGAGAGGUUAACCCAGGGUUAGAUGCUGAGCAUGGUAACAGGCAUAACUAUCCUUUAUAAAGCUUUUAAGGGAUUCACAAUGACAUUCUAAUUCCAUUUAUCAAGUGAGAAGUUAAGCAUGUCAGCCCAUAGUGCCACUUAAUGUCAGCAAAUAAAAUCCAAUUAGUAAGGAAGGCUCAGAAGCCCUUGAUCAGAACAGCAGCUGAGGGCCUGGCUUCCCCACCACAAGAGAAGCUGCUUAGCAGAGUGUGACCUUGUAGUUGGAUGGCAUAGUGGCCAAGCUAUAGUGUGGAGCCUAACACAGAGCUGGCAUAGGGACCAGGCAGCCAAAGCAGGGCUGUAGAAAAUGAACACUGAAGAGCUGUGUGUCCCUUCAGCUACAAGUGCUUUCCGCAGACCCACCGGGAAAGGAUUUCCCAGGAACGGGUGCAGGUAGGUGGCUGGCCGCAGAAUGGUCAGGCUUCAGGGUGUCUCUGGCAUGCUCAGGUUUGGUUGUAUAGUUGCUACUAAAACAGAUAUGGGAGUCAUGGGAGUUUGUGCAGCCUUAGAGAACUGCGGGAAGAUGUGGGGUGUUCCUGUGGGAGAAAGUCAGGGGCUAUAGAUGGGUCUGUCCUAAUAGUCAUGUGUACAGGACCUUGUGGAUGGGAGGUUCACAGACCACAGGGCUCUGCCCUCUCAGCACAGGGCACAAACUUUCUGGUGUCAGGUCUGCAGGGGUGGCAUUGAGCGAGAAGGCCCCCUUGUGUCUGUCCUUUUACUCCACACUGCUUCUCUGCCGGUUUGAUGUACCCAUGGGCCUGGUCGGAUGUUCCUCCAACCUUCCCAGAAUCCUUCUUCAGGAGGCCACAGCCCAGAAUCCCUAAGCUUCAUUGUGGCCGGCUUCCUAGGAAGCCCAGAGUAUAAGGCACAUGCCUACCCCCAGUUAUAGGACAGUCAAUUCAGCAUUGUGGACAGCAGCCAGUCCUGACUCACAGAUUACAAGGAACAUAGGCAUGAAGGUUGUAAUGGCUGAGGAGCACACAGUGAAUUUACUCCCACUAGAGAUGGUAGUAGGGGACAGUCCUAUAGGGUGAUGUUUCUAUUGAAUUCCAUGGAAAGAUUUUCAUUCACGUGUUUAGCCACCGAACAUUUGUCUUUCCUACCUCCUGUCCUUUGUGAGUUGUGGACAAAGCUCUCCAUCUCCCAGGGGCAGCUCUCUUUGGUUGGGCAAGCUCCUCCAUGGAUUGCUGCUGGGAUAGGGGUACAGAGGAAGGAUGGCGCUGAAGACUGAGGCUAUGAUCUCACUGAUAGGACAUUAGGCAGCCAGGGUGCUGGACAGAAGCCUGGGGAAUUAGUGGGAGGACAACCCUGGUCAAGGAGUCCUACAGAGGGAGCUCUAUCAACCCCAGCCAGAGGGUUCAGAAUCCCUAAGGGGCCUCAGAACCCUGGCAUCGCCCUUAUCCCCAUCAAACAAGAACUCUCAUGGCUCUCUGGCCUGAGGAUAGUGCCUCUAAGGGGCGCCACACCCUGAUUUACCUCCCACCCCUGGAGCCUAAGCCUCUCUGCUAUUAAACACAUUAAGGGGUGAGGAGAGCUGGGGGUUACAUCUUUGGAACCACAAACAGAAUCUCUCAUUAAUUCCUUAUAUUUAGCCAGUCUGCAGCUUGCCCUGUCACUCAACAGGGAGCCCUGAACUCCCUACUUAAAAACCUGUCCCAUAGGACAGCAUGACACUAGUUGGGGAUGCAAGGAGUGCCCCAGUGGUGGGGCUGCUGGGAGGCAAGAACAAGCAGGCAAAGGACCAUGGUGUAAAUGAACUGGAGCCAGGACCAGUGCAGUCCGCUCCAGCCACAGCCCACCAUCUCCCACAGGUCACAGCUACCAUCUCACUAAGCUCACUUCCUCCAAGGGCUAGGCUCCUAAGAGGAUGACCCCAGCCCCAGUUCCCAGACUUGGACCUUCCCUCAGGGUUCUCUUCUAAUUUCAGACCCAAUCUUAAUGAAGGUGACAGCAGCCAUCACAGUCCCAUCCAGGUUCCUCUCCCAGGCCUCACCCGACUUCUCAUGGUACCCAGGUCCAGUGUAUCUGGUCAUGGGAAGCCUGUGUUGACUCUCACCCAGGUAGGUGGGCACAGAGCAGCCCUUCUUCCACCCUUUCACCCAGUUAACCCACCAACUUGCCUACCCAUUGUUCUCUAUUCUCUACCCAGAGGACAAAGACUGUGGCUUCUUUCUUGCUGUGCAUGUACUUCUGUGGAAACAACGCUGUGACGGGAUGCUUCUGCUCUUCCACCAAGCAGCAAGUGCUGGAGGUGGGGGCGGGGGCGGGGGCGGUUCUACCCAGGCCCUCAUAAGCAGGGGACAAUCUUCUCCAACCAGAUGCCAGCAGGAUGAUCUUCCUUGAACAGCUGCAAAGGGCCAGGUAGGGCUCAAGUAACCACACCAUGGCAGAGGAAACUACAUAACCCGGAAAUAAUACCUGCCUCUCACUGGUCUAGGUAUUAUGGAUAUGAGCUCCUUGUGCACACCUACAGGCAAUGAAGGAGCAGUCUUUACUUGCCAUCAGAGCUGAUAAAUUAACCUCCUUCCAGGAAAUGAGAGGUGAUGUGAAAGGCCUCUUGACAAAUAUACAGAGAAGGCUCUGCUAGUGGGAAAGGAGCAGUCAGGAAACUGUGACAUUGACUUGUGGUAGGAAGCAGGAAUGAGCCAAGCAUAGCAGCCUAUGUCUCUGAUGCUAACACACAGGAGACUAAAGCAGGACUGCCAGUUCUAGGCCAGCCUAGGUUACACGGUAUCUGAGAGGCAGGAUAGAGCAGACAGGAUAUAGGGGGAGCCAGAGAACACUCUGCCCUGGAGAGCUUGGGGCUUUCUGAGGGCCUCAGUGGCCACUGGACAAAGGGACAUCUCCCCUGGGACCCAGGGAUGAACACAAUGGGGGCUGUUGUUGUAGAAGGUGCUCUGGGGACAUCACGUAUCUAGUAGUGGCAAUACCAGGAACAGGUCAAGGUCAGCCAGCACUGGUCCUAGAAUGUGGUCUGAUGGACACAAACCUUAUGGACCCAGCUCAACCAGGCCUGACCGAUCCUCUUACAGUAGGGACUCUGCACUCCGCAUGCCCACUGAUGCUCAGGCAAGUGUGACUUCUGACCUCUGACCUGCAGCAGCUUAAAUAACCAUAACAAUUACACAACGGUCCCCCAUAUAAAUCAGAAACCUUGCAGCACAUGAGCAUGCAAAUGUCACCCAGACACACAGAAAAAGUGGUGUGACAGAAGCAUGACCCUGGUCAACAGGGACCAAAGAAUCACAACAAAGACUUCUAAAAACAACCUAGUUAUAAUAUUCACACAUACAGGAAAAGCAAGACAACACUCGCCCACAACUACAGCUGUCCGCAAUGACCAUCCUCAGUUUAGACAGAUACAGAAACACAAACCAACAUUCCCCAAACCCCUCUGGCUCUCAGAGGUUCGGACAAAAGUCUCUUGGUGUAGCAGCCGUCGACCACUGGAAUGAAAACUGGUAAUACAGCCACAGGAAUCGCAGAGGGAAGAAGGUCAAAGACAAAGCCACGGUGAACGAACAGAGCUAACGGCUGCAGACAAGGGCAAUGGGAGUCACAGGCACAGCAGCCACAGUGCUACUCCUCAGCUACAAAGCUACAAUGUCAGGAAAACAGUCACGUCCUCCGACAGCUGGUCUCCAUAGAACUAACCAGUGCAGACACAUAUUCCACUGGAGUAGUGCUAACCCACCUACCGCCUCCCCUCACCCCCACCCCGUGAGCUCCAAGCCACUGAGUGUUGUUCUGUGACUUUGCAAACCAUUCACAUAAAGGCUGUUACUUUGAAA